UGACCUCAAAUCAGGUUAGAGUUCCCGCUGAACUUAAGCAUAUCAAUAAGCGGAGGA
rnacentral:rRNA from 1 species